GCCUGGGUGGCUCAGUCGGUUAGGUGUCUGACUUCAGCUCAGGUCAUGAUCUCAUGGUUUGUGAGUUCAAACCCCACUUUUGGCU
rnacentral:tRNA from 1 species